GAUGAACGCUGGCGGCGUGCCUAAUACAUGCAAGUCGAGCGAACAGACGAGGAGCUUGCUCCUCUGACGUUAGCGGCGGACGGGUGAGUAACACGUGGAUAACCUACCUAUAAGACUGGGAUAACUUCGGGAAACCGGAGCUAAUACCGGAUAAUAUAUUGAACCGCAUGGUUCAAUAGUGAAAGACGGUUUUGCUGUCACUUAUAGAUGGAUCCGCGCCGCAUUAGCUAGUUGGUAAGGUAACGGCUUACCAAGGCAACGAUGCGUAGCCGACCUGAGAGGGUGAUCGGCCACACUGGAACUGAGACACGGUCCAGACUCCUACGGGAGGGCGCAGUAGGGAAUCUUCCGCAAUGGGCGAAAGCCUGACGGAGCAACGCCGCGUGAGUGAUGAAGGUCUUCGGAUCGUAAAACUCUGUUAUUAGGGAAGAACAAAUGUGUAAGUAACUAUGCACGUCUUGACGGUACCUAAUCAGAAAGCCACGGCUAACUACGUG
rnacentral:rRNA from 1 species